AUCUUGAUUGAUCAGUGAU
rnacentral:miRNA from 1 species